rnacentral:rRNA from 1 species
AGAAUCAACGCUGGCGGCGUGCCUAACACAUGCAAGUCGAACGAGAAAGUGGAGCAAUCCAUGAGUAAAGUGGCGACCGGGUGAGUAACACGUGACUAACCUACCUUCAAGUGGGGGAUAACCUCGGGAAACCGGGGCUAAUACCGCAUAACAUCUUUGGAGUGGAAAUUCUGGAGAUCAAAGGAGCAAUUCGCUGGAAGAGGGGGUCGCGGCUGAUUAGCUAGUUGGCGGGGUAAUGGCCCACCAAGGCUUUGAUCGGUAGCCGGCCUGAGAGGGCGCACGGCCACACUGGAACUGAAACACGGUCCAGACUCCUACGGGAGGCAGCAGUGGGGAAUUUUGCGCAAUGGGGGAAACCCUGACGCAGCAACGCCGCGUGGAGGAUGAAGUCCUUGGGACGUAAACUCCUUUCGGACCGGGAAGAUGAUGACGGUACCGGUGGAAGAAGCCCGGCUAACUUCGCGCCAGCAGCCGC